GAUGAACGCUAGCGGCAGGCUUAACACAUGCAAGUCGAGGGGUAGAAGCAGCUUGCUGCUUUGAGACCGGCGCACGGGUGCGUAACGCGUAUACAAUCUACCUUUUACAGAGGGAUAGCCCAGAGAAAUUUGGAUUAAUACCUCAUAGUAUUUUCGAAUCGCAUGAUUUGAUUAUUAAAGUUCCAACGGUAAAGAUGAGUAUGCGUCCCAUUAGCUAGAUGGUAAGGUAACGGCUUACCAUGGCAACGAUGGGUAGGGGUCCUGAGAGGGAGAUCCCCCCACACUGGUACUGAGACACGGACCAGACUCCUACGGGAGGCAGCAGUGAGGAAUAUUGGACAAUGGGCGCAAGCCUGAUCCAGCCAUGCCGCGUGCAGGAAGACGGUCCUAUGGAUUGUAAACUGCUUUUAUACAGGAAGAAACACCUCUACGUGUAGAGACUUGACGGUACUGUAUGAAUAAGCAUCGGCUAACUCCGUGCCAG
rnacentral:rRNA from 1 species